rnacentral:tRNA from 1 species
GCUCCGGUAGCUCAGCUGGACAGAGCAACGGAUUCCUAAUCCGUAGGUCGGAGGUUCGAACCCUCUCCGGAGCACCA